rnacentral:rRNA from 1 species
UACGUAGGGGGCGAGCGUUGUCCGGAAUCAUUGGGCGUAAAGCGCGUGUAGGCGGUCCAGUAAGUCUGCUGUGAAAGUCCAGGGCUCAACCCUGGGAUGCCGGUGGAUACUGCUGAACUAGAGUACGGAAGAGGCGAGUGGAAUUCCCGGUGUAGCGGUGAAAUGCGCAGAUAUCGGGAGGAACACCAAUUGCGAAGGCAGCUCGCUGGGACGUUACUGACGCUGAGACGCGAAAGCGUGGGGAGCAAACAGG